GGGGGUUUAGCUCAGUGGUAGAGCGCUCGCUUUGCAUGCGAGAGGAGAGGCCAUGAGUUCGAACCCCAUAUUCUCCA